GCCCGAGCCGAGGCCGUCUCCGCAUCCCACCCGGAGCCGGGGGGGUCCCCGCGGGGCAUCAAUGAACGCGCGGUUGCGCCGGCAGCGAGAGGGGGCUGCGCGCUCAGCCAAUGGGCUCCGCCCGCACCGCCCUCAGCCAAUGAGCGGCGCCUCAUUCAGCGGCGGCAGCCAAUGAGAGGCGGGGCGGGGCCCUUCCGGGCGGCGGUGCAGCGGAUACAUAGUAGCGAGCGGCGGGAGUGGGGGGCGUGGCCUCGCUGCUCAUUGCCGCGGGCGGCUCGGCUCGGCUCGGCUCGGCUCGGCUCGGAUGCGACCCAGCUCGGCCCCGACCCCUCUCGGCCCCUUGCCCUGACCCGGCUCGGCCCUGCCCGGCCCGCCUCGGCCCUUCCCGGCCAUGCUUUCCGCCCCAUGGCCCCUGUGGAGCUCGACGCGCUGGCCGUGCGGGAGCAGCUUUUCCACGAACGAAUCCGCGAAUGCAUCGGGGCUUCUGGGACAGUCAGAGCCACGCGUCCCUGCAGCGCUGCGCCUCUCCCGGGAACGCCUGGCUCAGCUCCGCCAGCGUGGAGCCCUCUCGACCUUUCAGACUUUCCCGGGCCACGUCGUGGAGCUCUGCCCCGUGGUUACAUCAGCGCCUCUGGGAGCCCUCGCCCUGAGCUGAGCUGCAGCUGGGACGCUGCUGUCUCAUGGAUCUCCCCCCGAAACCCCUUCCUCACUCCUUUGCUGAGGGCAGGAGGUGUUCGGAGCCCUCUGAGCCAACACCAAGCACAGGGUGCUUCCCUCAGCGGGAACAGGGGCAGGGACAACCCUCAGGGUGCCCCGAGCUGGGCUGUUCUCAGGGCUCUCUGCCACCCCACCGAUGGGACCCCCACCCCCGGGACCCCCCAGCCGAGCCCCUAACGUGAAGGACACCCAGGCAGGAGGGCGGUGCCGGUGCCAAGGCGUUGGGUUCAGGCGACCUUUCCCCAUCCCGCCGCGUACCCACGGGGAUGAAAGGUCGCAGUGUUCCUCGAACGUCGCCUGCUCGGGCCGGAGCUCGGCGUGCCGGCGGGGGAGGGAGGGACAGACAGACAGACACGCCGCAGUCGGCCUUGGUGCUGGGCUCAAGGCCGUUCCCGCAGCCCCACCGGGUGCUGGCGCCAGCGGUGCGAGGGCUGCGGGGUCGGGGUGUUCCAUGCUGGGCCGAGCCAGGGCUGCUGCUGGAGCUCGCCCUGCGCUCUCCGUGCACGGGGGGCAGCUCGUGAGCACCCAGUGGGUGAGCCCCGAGUGCAGCCCAUGCGCGUUCGGGGGGGGGAGCGAGCAGGGUCAGGAUAAUUAAACAGAGGGGAGCUGAUGGGGCCUGGGGCUGUCAGCGUUCCCUGAGGGGGGUGGGGGGGAAUGCUGCCCUCUGAGGUCGCCCACGACGCUGUGCCUGCAGAUCUGUGCCCUGCUCUUCGCCAGCCUCUACAUCCUCUGCCACUUCGUCAUAAGGCACUUCAAGAAGCAGACGGACUUUGCAGCAGGUA
rnacentral:lncRNA from 1 species